rnacentral:lncRNA from 1 species
AUGGCUUACCUUAUUGUGAACCAUUCAGACAUCGAAGGAAUAAAUAUUUUUGAUAUUGAACUGAAAAUAAGUCAGUUUGCAGAUGACACAGUAAUAUUUUUAAAGGAUAAAUCAAUACUUGAGAAAGCAUUGAAUAUCAUUUCAAUUUUUUCUAAAGCUUCAGGCUUGUGUCUGAAUCUAAAGAAGUGUGAACUUUUGCCACUUUAUGAUUGUUUGGAAAAUAGCAUGAGGACGAUUCCAGUGAAAAAUGAAGUCAAGUAUCUAGGCAUCUAUUUAAACAAAGACAUCGACACUAGAGAAUCAAAAAACCUAAAAGACAAAAUUGAUGGCAUGUCCAAAACACUAAAUCAUUGGUUAACGAGAGAUAUUACAAUUUUUGGACGCAAUCUAUUAUCCAAAUCAGAGGGCGUCUCAAAGAUGGUUUAUCCAGCUUACUCAUUAUACAUUACCCCGAAAAGUAUUAAAAAGAUUAACUCUAUAAUCUAUCAAUUCAUUUGGCGCAAUAAAACGCAUUACAUUAAAAAAUCACAACUUGUCAAAGAUUACGCUAAAGGUGGUAUAAAGACAAUUGAUUUUCAAUCAAUGGUUGGAGUAUUUAAAAUAAACUGGAUAAAAGCCUUCCUCUUGAAACCUGACUCCAUAUGGUUCCAUAUCCCUAAAAAUAUUUUCAAAAAGGUGGGAGGGUUGGAUUUUCUCCUGAAAUGUGAUUUUGAUAUAUUGAAGUUGCCUGUGAAACUGUUAGAAUAUCAUAAGCAGGUCUUGUCUUAUUGGAAGAUGGUUUUUGCCCAUAACUUUACGCCACAUUGCUCCACCUUGUGGAAUAACAGAACAAUUACAAUUAAUAAGAAGUCAUUGUUUAUUAAAGAGUGGUAUGAAAAAAACAUAAUCUUUAUAACAGACGUACUUGAUGAAAGGGGUCAGUUUCUCUCAGUGGGUGUUUUUAAUGCUAAGUUUAACAUUCAGUGUUCCCUUAGAGAAUAUGACAAGGUUUGUAAGGCAAUCCCCUUACCUCUGUUGAGUUUGAUUCAAGGCUAUUUAUAUUACUCUAAGGCACAAAUUAGUUUACCUUCUUUACAUCUAAAUCAGAUUCCUUUGACUGAUAAAAAUUGUAAUAAUAAAACCAUAAACAAAAUAUUUAAAAACAAAUUAUUUCACGACUUUAACAGUAACACAAAAUUAAAAGGGAGUAAUGUUAAAAUAAUGAACAAAUAUACACACUUUUUAGAAUGGCCUAUCCCCCCCAAAGUCAAAGAAAUGCAAUUUAAAAUAAUUAAUGGAUAUUACCCAGCAGCUGAAAUGCUUAAAAAAAGAUUUGGGUUUGAGGUGGAGCCAUGUGGAUUUUGUUCACAAAAUGUGGAAAGUAUUGAUCAUUUGUUUUUUUCCUGCUCAGUAACAACUGACUUUUGGCAGGAUUUGGUAGACUGGUUGAGUAUAAGAAUAGAUGGGAUGACCCCACUGACUCUAACACAAGUUUUAUAUAAUAAUGGUGAUUCAUCUAAGGAACUAUCCAUGCUCCACAAGGUGGUGAUAAUUAUGGGCAAAUACCACAUACACAGAUGUAAAUGGCAAAGUAAAAGACCUUCCCUAACUGCAUUGAAGAUUGAAUUAAAAUCUUUUUUGUCAUCUUUAGAAUUACUGAGGGAUUCAUGCAAAGAGGCUGCUUUGAUAUGUGACAAUGGGACUAAAUUUCUAUCCUUUUAA